rnacentral:rRNA from 1 species
GACGAACGCUGGCGGCGUGCCUAAUACAUGCAAGUCGAACGCUUUUUCUUUCACCGGAGCUUGCUCCACCGAAAGAAAAAGAGUGGCGAACGGGUGAGUAACACGUGGGUAACCUGCCCAUCAGAAGGGGAUAACACUUGGAAACAGGUGCUAAUACCGUAUAACACUAUUUUCCGCAUGGAAGAAAGUUGAAAGGCGCUUUUGCGUCACUGAUGGAUGGACCCGCGGUGCAUUAGCUAGUUGGUGAGGUAACGGCUCACCAAGGCAACGAUGCAUAGCCGACCUGAGAGGGUGAUCGGCCACACUGGGACUGAGACACGGCCCAGACUCCUACGGGAGGCAGCAGUAGGGAAUCUUCGGCAAUGGACGAAAGUCUGACCGAGCAACGCCGCGUGAGUGAAGAAGGUUUUCGGAUCGUAAAACUCUGUUGUUAGAGAAGAACAAGGAUGAGAGUAAAAUGUUCAUCCCUUGACGGUAUCUAACCAGAAAGCCACGGCUAACUACGUGCCAGCAGCAGCCGCAG